rnacentral:rRNA from 1 species
CCUGUACCACCUAUAAUCGUUUUAAUCGAUGGGGGGACGCAGUAGGAUAGGCGAAGCGUGCGAUUGGAUUGCACGUCUAAGCAGUAAGGCUGAGUAUUAGGCAAAUCCGGUACUCGUUAAGGCUGAGCUGUGAUGGGGAGAAGACAUUGUGUCUUCGAGUCGUUGAUUUCACACUGCCGAGAAAAGCCUCUAGAUAGAAAAUAGGUGCCCGUACCGCAAACCGACACAGGUAGUCAAGAUGAGAAUUCUAAGGUGAGCGAGCGAACUCUCGUUAAGGAACUCGGCAAAAUGACCCCGUAACUUCGGGAGAAGGGGUGCUCUUUAGGGUUAACGCCCAGAAGAGCCGCAGUGAAUAGGCCCAAGCGACUGUUUAUCAAAAACACAGGUCUCUGCUAAACCGUAAGGUGAUGUAUAGGGGCUGACGCCUGCCCGGUGCUGGAAGGUUAAGAGGAGUGGUUAGCUUCUGCGAAGCUACGAAUCGAAGCCCCAGUAAACGGCGGCCGUAACUAUAACGGUCCUAAGGUAGCGAAAUUCCUUGUCGGGUAAGUUCCGACCCGCACGAAAGGCGUAACGAUUUGGGCACUGUCUCAACGAGAGACUCGGUGAAAUCAUAGUACCUGUGAAGAUGCAGGUUACCCGCGACAGGACGGAAAGACCCCGUGGAGCUUUACUGUAGCCUGAUAUUGAAAUUCGGCACAGCUUGUACAGGAUAGGUAGGAGCCUUUGAAACGUGAGCGCUAGCUUACGUGGAGGCGCUGGUGGGAUACUACCCUAGCUGUGUUGGUUUUCUAACCCGCACCACUUAUCGUGGUGGGAGACAGUGUCAGGCGGGCAGUUUGACUGGGGCGGUCGCCUCCUAAAAGGUAACGGAGGCGCUCAAAGGUUCCCUCAGAAUGGUUGGAAAUCAUUCAUAGAGUGUAAAGGCAUAAGGGAGCUUGACUGCGAGACCUACAAGUCGAGCAGGGUCGAAAGACGGACUUAGUGAUCCGGUGGUUCCGCAUGGAAGGGCCAUCGCUCAACGGAUAAAAGCUACCCCGGGGAUAACAGGCUUAUCUCCCCCAAGAGUUCACAUCGACGGGGAGGUUUGGCACCUCGAUGUCGGCUCAUCGCAUCCUGGGGCUGUAGUCGGUCCCAAGGGUUGGGCUGUUCGCCCAUUAAAGCGGUACGCGAGCUGGGUUCAGAACGUCGUGAGACAGUUCGGUCCCUAUCCGUCGUGGGCGUAGGAAAUUUGAGAGGAGCUGUCCUUAGUACGAGAGGACCGGGAUGGACAUACCUCUGGUGUACCAGUUGUCGUGCCAACGGCAUAGCUGGGUAGCUAUGUGUGGACGGGAUAAGUGCUGAAAGCAUCUAAGCAUGAAGCCCCCCUCAAGAUGAGAUUUCCCAACUUCGGUUAUAAGAUCCCUCAAAGAUGAUGAGGUUAAUAGGUUCGAGGUGGAAGCAUGGUGACAUGUGGAGCUGACGAAUACUAA